rnacentral:rRNA from 1 species
UGGAGCAUGUGGUUUAAUUCGAUGCAACGCGAAGAACCUUACCAGGGCUUGACAUCUCUGCGGACCUGGUGGAAACACUGGGGUGCCCCGGAAGGGGAACGCGGAGACAGGUGGUGCAUGGUUGUCGUCAGCUCGUGUCGUGAGAUGUUGGGUUAAGUCCCGCAACGAGCGCAACCCUUGCCUUUAGUUGCCAUCAGUAAGGCUGGGCACUCUAGAGGGACUGCCGGUGACAAACCGGAGAGAAGGUGGGGAUGACGUCAAAUCAUCAUGCCCCUUAUGUUCUGGGCUACACACGUGCUACAAUGGGCAGGGCACAAAGGGGAGCGAGACCGCGAGGUGGAGCGAAUCCCAAAAAACCCUUCUCAGUUCGGAUUGGAGUCUGCAACUCGACUCCAUGAAGUUGGAAUCGCUAGUAAUCCCGG